CUUUGAACGACAUUUGAAUGAAGCGGGUCAACAAACCAUGCAUUCGAUCUAUACGAAACUGGCGGGUUGUAAUCUUAACCAAACGCACCAAAAUCGAAGCAUUAAAGCGCGGUAGUCCUGCAUUAGGUCGAAGAGCUUGUCCAGACUAGAGGACAGAACGCAUUCACGUAUCGCAGCUCAUUCGAAAGAAAAGAAUGACUACAGAAUUAUGCGAGCGUGUGAAGGCCCGUCUGGUCGAAAGUGGACAAGAAGAACUGCUUAAAGAAAGUUUGAAAACGAAACUUGCCUCGUGUGGAUGGAGAGAUGAGUUGAAGGCCGAGGCAAGGAAAUUGAUUAGAGACCGAGGCCUAACAAAUGUUACGAUAGAUGAGCUUCAUGCCCAUCUGAUGCCCAAAGCGCGAAGUACAAUUCCGGACCAGAUAAAAAAAGAGGUCUUUUAUGAGCUUCGCGAAUUCGUAAGGCAUAGCUGUAACAUUCACCCAUAAGGGACGCUCACUCUUUCACAACACGAAAUAUAAGGACGACUAAAGCAGGACUAAAUGAAAACUAAAUAUGUAAAUAUUUAUUCGAGUAAAUAUAUACACAAAUAAGUACUAAACGAACUGUGUUUUUAUUUACUAAUGAUAAAAUAAAAAUAAGUUAUAGAUCUCCAUGCGAUUUUAUCUUCUUCUUAUGAGGAUCCGAUGAUUUGAAGUUCACACUUGAACCUAUAGUCCAGGGUAGUGCAAUGCGUACUGCACAGC